rnacentral:rRNA from 1 species
ACUCCUACGGGAGGCAGCAGUGGGGAAUAUUGGACAAUGGACGAAAGCCUGAUGCAGCAACGCCGCGUGAGGGAUGACGGCCUUCGGGUUGUAAACCUCUUUUAGUAGGGAAGAAGCGAAAGUGACGGUACCUGCAGAAAAAGCACCGGCUAACUACGUGCCAGCAGCCGCGGUAAU